rnacentral:tRNA from 1 species
GCCUCGGUAGCUCAGUCAUUUCUUGAGGGUAAGCCUCUUGAGACUGAACGGUAGAGCGAUGGACUGUUAAUCCAUAGGUCGAAGGUUCAAGUCCUUCCCGGGGCG